GGGAACCUCACCCGGCCCGGACACCGCGAGGAUUGACAGACUGAGAGCUCUUUCUCGAUUCGGUGGGUGGUGGUGCAUGGCCGUUCUUAGUUGGUGGAGCGAUCUGUCUGGUUAAUUCCGAUAACGAACGAGACUCUGUCCUGCUAAAUAGUGUCUGCUUCUCUUUUGAGCAGACAAUUCUUGAGCAAUAA
rnacentral:rRNA from 1 species